rnacentral:rRNA from 1 species
GAUGAACGCUGGCGGCGUGCCUAAUACAUGCAAGUCGAGCGAACAGACGAGGAGCUUGCUCCUCUGACGUUAGCGGCGGACGGGUGAGUAACACGUGGAUAACCUAUCUAUAAGACUGGGACAACUUCGGGAAACCGGAGCUAAUACCGGAUAAUCUAUUGAACCGCAUGGUUCAAUAGUGAAAGACGGUUUUGCUGUCACUUAUAGAUGGUUCCGCGGCGCAUUAGCUAGUUGGUAAGGUAACGGCAUACCAAGGCAACGAUGAGUAGCCGACCUGAGAGGGUGAUCGGCCACACUGGAACUGAGACACGGUCCAGACUCCUACGGGAGGCAGCAGUAGGGAAUCUUCCGCAAUGGGCGAAAGCCUGACGGAGCAACGCCGCGUGAGUGAUGAAGGUCUUCGGAUCGUAAAACUCUGUUAUUAGGGAAGAACAAAUGUGUAAGUAACUAUGCACGUCUUGACGGUACCUAAUCAGAAAGCCACGGCUAACUACGUG